UACGUAGGGUGCAAGCGUUAAUCGGAAUUACUGGGCGUAAAGCGUGCGCAGGCGGUGAUGUAAGACAGAUGUGAAAUCCCCGGGCUCAACCUGGGAACUGCAUUUGUGACUGCAUCGCUGGAGUGCGGCAGAGGGGGAUGGAAUUCCGCGUGUAGCAGUGAAAUUCGUAGAUAUUGGGAAGAACACCGGUGGCGAAGGCGGCGCACUGGCCCGUAACUGACGCUCAUGCACGACAGCGUGGGGAUCAAACAGG
rnacentral:rRNA from 1 species